CGGGGAUACGUAAUAACUUAUAGGGAGAAGCCUUUCAAGUCCCCUACGAAUAUUCUCUGCGAAUAGGCUGGUCGUCCGGGAUUUUUCACGUGAAGGGGGCAUUUUCGGUUUUGGGGUUUGCGGGGGGGAGCCGGCGGUUGGGGGGGGUUGGAAAAAAAACGGGAAGGAGAGUGGGGAAAACCCCCUUUUUUUUUGGGGCCGGGCCCCCGUUUAGGGUUCCCAAACCCCCCCCCCGAACCCCGGGGGGGUUUGGGGUGAAAAAGACCCGGGAAAACUCCCCCCCCAAAAAGAGGGGGGGAAGGGGGAAAAAAAACGAAAAACAAAAAUUGAAAAAAAAAAAUUUGGGGUUUGGGGGGCUUUCCCAGGGAAAAAAAGAGAGAGGGGGUGAAGUAGGAGAAUUAUGAAAGUGCCACCGAGAAAAAAAAAACCCGGGGGAAACAAAAAAAAUGUUUUUUUUCGCCCCGCGCGCGGGCGUGGGGGGGCACCGCACGGGGCCCCCCCCAGAAAAAAAGUGGAUAAAAAAAUUUGUUGGAGAAAUAUGUGAGUAUCCACCCUCUUUUUUAGCAAAAAAA
rnacentral:rRNA from 1 species